AAUAUUGCACAAUGGGGGAAACCCUGAUGCCGCGACGCCGCGUGAGCGAAGAAGGCCUUCGGGUCGUAAAGCCCUUCCCUCGGGUAAGUAAGGGACCGUACCCUGGCAGGCAUCCCCAGCUAACCACGCUCCAGCAGCCGCGGUAAUACGUAGGGGGCGAGCGUUAUCCGGAACUAUUGGGCGUAAAGGGUGCGUAGGCUGCCUUUUAAGUCAGAUGUGAAAGGCUACGGCUUAACCGUAGUUAGCAUUUGAAACUAAAAGGCUUGAGUGCAGGAGAGGAGAGUGGAAUUCAUAGUGUAGCGGUGAAAUGCGUAGAUAUUAGGAGGAACACCAGUGGCGAAGGCGACUCUCUGGACUGCAACUGACGCUGAGGCACGAAAGCGUGGGGAGCGAACA
rnacentral:rRNA from 1 species